AACGAACGCUGGCGGCAUGCCUAACACAUGCAAGUCGAACGAGACCUUCGGGUCUAGUGGCGCACGGGUGCGUAACGCGUGGGAACCUGCCCUUAGGUUCGGAAUAACUCCACGAAAGGGGUGCUAAUACCGGAUAAUGUCUUCGGACCAAAGAUUUAUCGCCUUUGGAUGGGCCCGCGUUGGAUUAGCCAGUUGGUAGGGUAAAAGCCUACCACGGCGACGAUCCAUAGCUGGUCUGAGAGGAUGGUCAGCCACACUGGGACUGGGACACGGCCCAGACUCCUACAGGAGGCAGCAGUGGGGAAUAUUGGACAAUGGGCGAAAGCCUGAACCAGCUAUGCCGCGUGAGUGAUGAAGGCCUUAGAGUUGUAAAGCUCUUUUACCCGGGGUGAUAAUGACAGUACCGAGAGAAUAAGCUCCGGCUAACUCCGUG
rnacentral:rRNA from 1 species